UACGAAGGGGGGCGAGCGUUGUUCGGAAUUACUGGGCGUAAAGGGCGCGUAGGCGGCCUGAUAAGUCAAAGGUGAAAUCCCUCGGCUCAACUGAGGAAUUGCCUUUGAAACUGUCAGGCUUGAGGCCGGGAGGGGGUGGCGGAAUUCCCAGUGUAGCGGUGAAAUGCGUAGAUAUUGGGAGGAACACCAGUGGCGAAGGCGGCCACCUGGACCGGUUCUGACGCUGAUGCGCGAAAGCGUGGGGAGCAAACAGG
rnacentral:rRNA from 1 species